rnacentral:rRNA from 1 species
GAUGAACGCUGACAGAAUGCUUAACACAUGCAAGUCGAUGGGGAAGUGGUGCUUGCACCAUGGCAACCAUGGCGGACGGGUGAGUAACGCGUAAGGGACUUACCUGCAGGACUGGGAUAACAGGGGGAAACUCCUGACAAGACCGGAUAAUGUCAUGGAGCUGCAUGGCUUUAUGAUGAAAGGAGACGCCUGCGGAGAGCCUUGCGUCCUAUUAGCUAGUUGGUGAGGUAAUGGCUCACCAAGGCGAAGAUAGGUAGCCGGCCUGAGAGGGUGGACGGCCACAAGGGGACUGAGAUACGGCCCUUACUCCUACGGGAGGCAGCAGUGGGGAAUAUUGGACAAUGGGGGCAACCCUGAUCCAGCAAUUCUGUGUGCACGAAGAAGGUUUUCGGAUUGUAAAGUGCUUUCAGCAGGGAAGAAGUAAGUGACGGUACCUGCAGAAGAAACGACGGCUAAAUACGU